GAUGAACGCUGGCGGCGUGCUUAACACAUGCAAGUCGAGCGAAGCACUUAAGUUUGAUUCUUCGGAUGAGGACUUUUGUGACUGAGCGGCGGACGGGUGAGUAACGCGUGGGUAACCUGCCUCAUACAGGGGGAUAACAGUUAGAAAUGGCUGCUAAUACCGCAUAAGACCACAGUACUGCAUGGUACAGUGGUAAAAACUCCGGUGGUAUGAGAUGGACCCGCGUCUGAUUAGGUAGUUGGUGAGGUAACGGCCCACCAAGCUGACGAUCAGUAGCCGACCUGAGAGGGUGACCGGCCACAUUGGGACUGAGACACGGCCCAGACUCCUACGGGAGGCAGCAGUGGGGAAUAUUGCACAAUGGGCGAAAGCCUGAUGCAGCGACGCCGCGUGAAGGAUGAAGUAUUUCGGUAUGUAAACUUCUAUCAGCAGGGAAGAAAAUGACAGUACCUGACUAAGAAGCCCCGGCUAACUACGUGCCAGCCGCCGCGGUAA
rnacentral:rRNA from 1 species